UAGUCUCGAAUUUGUGUCUCCUUGGAUCCUUUUUGUUGGUCGCAUACUUGAGAUUAUCGUACCUGUGAUCAUAGUAGGUGCUACACUAAUAGGAACAGGUAGUACAAUGGGAAUAGAAUGGAGACAUGCAAGAAUUCAAUCGGGAUAAUAUGAAAAUAAUGAGGGUUCGUUUGUUCAAGGAAAGGAUCGUAUGAAUUUGGCGUGUAAAUCAAAUAAUUGGAAUGGUCAGUUUGAAGUAAAGAGGUCCUCAUGCGUAUUAGAACACCGGAUGAAGUGUGUACGUAAGGCAGAGGAAAAAAAUAAUAUAAGUUUAUCUUUCAAGCGUAAGCCAGCAAUUGCUAAUGUAUUGUUUCUGAUUUCUGCAUCUGAUUGAACUUUUGAAUAUUCAUAAAAGUACAAUUGUGAGAAGCUCUACGAGAAUUUUAUGCUGCGAAGAUAAUAUUCAUCGAAACAUCUAACCUGUGGAAAUUAAAUUCUGUCACGAGUUCCUCGCAGAAUUGUACACCUCUGCAAGAAUUUCCAAGAGGAUCUAGUGGCGGUGACCAGGUGGCGUAUUCGCGUAGAGGCUUUCCUGCUGGUCCAUUAUCCUGUUUACUGGAUUCUUCCUACGAGAUUGCCGCACCGAACUUCUUCUGCUGGAGCGUCUUGUGCCGUCCCGAGAUAUGACGGAGCGUCGCUUGACACGUCGAGGUGUCAUCGGUUUCGUUUCAUGCAGGAUAUACACUACGGUCAGAGAUACAAAACAAAGGCAUAUCUUCAUACGAGGUAUCCACCCAAAAAUGUGAUUGAAGAAUAAAAACCGAAGCGCAGUACCGUGUUAGAUAAAAGGAAGAAAAGAUAGUGAGGGGUUAAUAAAUAAUAAAGCAAGCAGUAGUGUGUUGUUGCAUUGCACGUUUAUUGUUGCUAUCGAAAAGCACCAAGUUCUUUUUUUUUUUAAAUA